CCUACGGGAGGCUGCAGUGGGGAAUAUUGCACAAUGGGCGCAAGCCUGAUGCAGCCAUGCCGCGUGUGUGAAGAAGGCCUUCGGGUUGUAAAGCACUUUCAGCGGGGAGGAAGGCGGUGAGGUUAAUAACCUCAUCGAUUGACGUUACCCGCAGAAGAAGCACCGGCUAACUCCGUGCCAGCAGCCGCGGUAAUACGGAGGGUGCAAGCGUUAAUCGGAAUUACUGGGCGUAAAGCGCACGCAGGCGGUCUGUCAAGUCGGAUGUGAAAUCCCCGGGCUCAACCUGGGAACUGCAUUCGAAACUGGCCGGCUAGAGUCUUGUAGAGGGGGGUAGAAUUCCAGGUGUAGCGGUGAAAUGCGUAGAGAUCUGGAGGAAUACCGGUGGCGAAGGCGGCCCCCUGGACAAAGACUGACGCUCAGGUGCGAAAGCGUGGGGGGCAAACAGGAUUAGAUACCCCUGUAGUC
rnacentral:rRNA from 1 species